UAGUAGAUCCAAUGUUCUAAGUGUCAUUUUAGUGAUUAAGGAAAUACGUCUUAGGUUAAUAAUUUUGGUACAUGACAUGAUGUUAGUCUUACCAGUUCUUUAGAGGAUGGAGAUGAAUAUUGAUAAUUUGGGGUUAAAGAAAAGUUUCGACUUUGAUUGGAUACUUAUUAUUUUGACAUUGCUGAAUGGCCUAUCUUUUGAGAGAAGAUGAGAGCAGGAGCCCUAUGUUUCAUAUCCACAUCUUUGAUUUGAAAGUCCUGAGGUGUUCUAACUGUACUAAACUGCUAUAAUGGAAAUAUGAAUCCUAUGGUUCAUUUAACUAUCUACGCUUAUUACAUAUUGUGUGGUAGAAUACUGUUCAUGCAUAUCAAAUUGAGAAUCAAAUACAAGAGGGAGGUGUUUUGUUAUAGUUGUUAAUUCAUCUGAAAGGAAGAUGAGGGAUUUAAUUUUUGGAGAAGAAUAAGGGCAAGCAGCACGAACCUUUUCAGAGUCACAAAGUCUUUUUUAACAUGUUUUUAUUUAUUUAUAAUCUCUUUCUCUAAUUGCUUACCUUUUUUUUGGGGAUAGUUGUUCUUCAUUAGAGAUUUUUUCCUUUAUAAUCAAAUUUGUAUAAUGGGGUUGAAGUAGAAUGAUGUAACGAAAUCUACUAGUCAAUGUUACUGCACAAGCUUAUCUGGAGUAUAUACAAUAUAUUAUGUGUAGAAUUAUUUUUUUUUCUUCUUCCUGCUUUAAUUGUUCAUUUUAUUUAAAAUUGUUGAGUGGUUGGGGAAGUUGGGUCAUGGCAUGGUUGUUUGCCCAUAAAUUACAUAAUACUAUGAGGUUUAUUAUCAAUUGAACUGAGUGUACUGUGUACAUUUUCAGUAAUGAGCUGGGGACAAAAGGUUUUUUUUUUUAAUCAAGCUUAUGUUAUAUCAUGAAGAGUAAUCGCGGUAUCAUGUGAUUUUUUUUUUGUGUAGGGUAGGAUAUACACCCUUCCAAGUCAUCUAUCACCUGGAGCUAGAGAUCUGAUUCCCAGGAUGCUUGUAGUUGAUCCUAUGAAGAGGAUUACAAUCCUAGAGAUCCGUCAACAUACAUGGUUUCAAGCUCAUCUUCCUCGUUAUUUAGCUGUGCCACCUCCUGAUACAAUGCAACAGGCAAAGAAGGUGAAACUACUCCAAAUAUGCAGACCUCAGCAAUUAUGGAAGCUAGGAAAUGAUAAGAUUUUCAAGUGUGACCGAUCCCUCUCUACUCGGGGAAGCAAACAACAUUGUCUUCAAGCGUGAAGAAUUCGAGACAAAAGUAUCAAAUCAUUUGCUCACGAAUGUUUUCUGCUUGCAGCUAUAACCGCAUAGGAAAAGAUGCUGACGAGGCAGAUGUGGAGGAAAUAAUUGAUUUGGCCAACAAAGCUUCCUUGGCUGGCCAACAAAAGCAAGUUCAAGAGAAUAUUCAUUCUCAAAUAAAAGAUUUAUGCACGCUUAUGGAUGAAAUUCUUCUUCCUGCCAAGAAAACUGAGGAGCGGUUUGAAUCAGCUGCACAAAUAGAUAAGGAUCAGCCACGAAGUGGCCUUAGGUUUGCUCUUGGCCGUAUUGGAAGCUCUCCUACUAACCAUCUUGGUAAUUUUUCCUUCAGGUUCCUGAAAUUAGCUUGUUCUUUCUUGAAUAUGAAAAGUACUGGUUGAUAGCAUUUUUUUUUUUUUUUGGAAAGUAAAAUUUUAUUACCAAAAGACUUCAAAGCAUGAGGGUACAUCAAAAGCCAAUGGCCAACACAACAACCAAAAACCAAACAAACCAAAGAACACAAGCCAAGGAACAAACAAUCUAGCCACCUUCUAGGAAGGGUUCUAGAAAGGAUGAACCAAACAGGGGCUCUUCUGCACUCAGUGGAGAGGAACUACCCUCUAGGAGGGUUGAACCAGAUCAGAGGAGCAGGACAAAACAAACAAACCACAACUCAACUAGCCUUCAAGGCUAAAUACUCAAUAAACAUAACCUGACAGCAACCAUUAACCUUAAAACUCAGAAAAUCAGUUUUUGUCUCUCAGGUUCAGAGCAUCUACAAGAGACUCUAUAAACUAUAUUCCUGAACACAGUAUCAGCAGGCUCACAGACUCCAUUGAACAUAGUAUUAUUUCUCUGGGUCCAAAUGCUGUAAACAGCUUCUGCCAGAAACAUCAGAUGAAGCUUGCUGUUAGAAUUUGACCUUCUACAAUUUUUAAUUGCCCAGUCAACUUCAUGGUUGAAAUCUUGAACAGUUUUUUGGCAUCUCAGGAGGUGUAACACUUUCUUCCAGAUUACACUAGAAUAGUUGCACCAAAAGAAAAGAUGCUACACAGAUUCAUUAUCCUGCAAACACAGUAAACAAACAGGGUCACAGACAGGAUUCCAUUUAAGGAUUCUAUCCUUUGUAAGUAACCUAUUCUAAUUGGCAAGCCAUAAGACAAAAAAACUUCUUGGGGUUGCAUGAUUAUUACAGAUGAUCCGUUUCCAGGAAACUUUAGGACCUUGAGCCCUGAUCUUAGCAUAAAUCUUCCUGAUUUGAACCCUACUGUUCUUCAUCAUAGAGCUUCAACCCCCAAUAUUAUCAAUCAAGCUCCUGCACUUCAUAAUUCUCCUGAGAACCCAGGAACACUUCUUAGGAAUAGCAGCAUCCCAAAAAUUGGCAAAUUUGAAAUAGUAUACAUGUACCCAUUUGACCCAUAGAGAGUCAGAUUUGUGAGUGAUAUCCCAGAGAACUUUACAGAUUGCAGCAAGAUUCCACACACAGAGAGAUAUGAUAUUCCACCCUCCACAAGUACUGGUUGAUAGCAUUGCUAUUUAUCUUCUGCCUAUGCUACCUCUUAUUGAUCCAAUAUUUGAAUACAAUGAUAUCUUUAAUCUUUAACUUGCUAUGGAUGUAAAUCAUGUAAUUUUAUUAAUAUAAUUUCUUGUAAGCAAGCGUAAGAUAUUGUAUUAACUACACAAACUAAUUUAUAAUGCCUUCUAGUGCAUAUCAAACUUUCUAGGAAGGACUUUAAGCCUAGCUACAUACUGUCUUACAGUGUUGCACAUCAAACCAAUCUUUAUCCCUACGACCCUAGUCCCUAACCCUAACUUUAGUGUGAUGAGAUUAUUUACUUUGACUUUCUAAUCCUUCCUUGGGACUUGUAGUCCUAGGCUGCACAAAAAAAAAAAAAAAAAAAAAAAAAAAAAAAAAAAGAAGAAAAGAAAACAAAAGAAAGAGCCCUCUCCUGAUUUUAUUGAAUUUAUGCUUGCUCCUCAGCUGUCUGGGCAUAACAGAAAUUUAGGAUUCAUUACUAACCAAAUGUGAAUUUUUUGUAAUUGCUGUGAUACGGUGGUGCACAAGGGUUCUGGAAUUCUUUGUAAUUGUUGUGAUACGGUGGUGGGUUGUCUGCCUUUAAUUUGACCUUCAAUAUUGUCAUUUACUUUGAAGCUUGUUUUUUCACAUGAAAUAUUAUUCAGGUUAGUGCUUCGCAAUUUAAGGCACAUGCUGGUUGUGCUUCACGCAGAAAACCCAUGAGUUAUCGGUAACCCUAAUUAAAGAUCGUCGUCAUUCUGCCAAGUACAAUGAUGACCUGACAGAAGUUUAUGAACAAGCGGAGCACUUGGGCAGAUUGUAUAGGCUCCAUACAUUGAAGAGCAUGAGUUCUAACAAUUGAAUUGACUAUUAGGCUCAUCAAACUCACACUGCCCUCCAGAUUUCUGCAUGUUGAUUCAGCCAACAAUACAAACCAGCAAUGGCAGCAGCAACACACAACCAGGCACCAGCUGCAUAACCAAAGCAACAACAACAGUACAGCAGCAGCACCACAAAAGAAAAACAAACAGCAGCUAGCACCCCACCCAGCACCCCACAACAACUCAUCCAUCACCAUGAAGGCAUUUUUGAACAAAUUAAAGAGUAAUUUCAUAUACAAAAUUUUAUUUUAUUUUUUAGAUGAAAAUUGUAAUAUUACGGCUUUUUUUUAAUGAAAAUAUGUAA